rnacentral:rRNA from 1 species
UACGAAGGGGGCUAGCGUUGCUCGGAAUCACUGGGCGUAAAGCGCACGUAGGCGGCCUCUUAAGUCGGUGGUGAAAUCCUGGAGCUCAACUCCAGAACUGCCUUUGAUACUGGCAAGCUUGGAGUCCGGGAGAGGUGAGUGGAACUGCGAGUGUAGAGGUGAAAUUCGUAGAUAUUCGCAAGAACACCAGUGGCGAAGGCGGCGCACUGGCCCGGUACUGACGCUGAGGUGCGAAAGCGUGGGGAGCAAACAGG